rnacentral:tRNA from 1 species
GAGGGUAUAGCUCAGGUGGUAGAGCACAUGCUUAGCAUGCACAAGGUCCUGGGUUCAAUCCCUAAUACCUUCU